GACUGGUCCAGAGGGUAGUAGGUUAUCAGAACUUAUUAACAUUAGUGUCACUAAAGUUGGUACACAAUCUGCCCGUGAUAUAUUUGACUGGUAUUUU
rnacentral:sRNA from 1 species